rnacentral:rRNA from 1 species
UACAGAGGGGGCAAGCGUUGUUCGGAAUUACUGGGCGUAAAGGGCGCGUAGGCGGCCUGUUAAGUCGAACGUGAAAUCCCCGGGCUCAACCCGGGAACUGCGUCCGAUACUGGCAGGCUUGAAUUCGGGAGAGGGAUGUGGAAUUCCAGGUGUAGCGGUGAAAUGCGUAGAUAUCAGGAGGAAUACCGAUGGCGAAGGCAGGUCUCUGGGCUGACACUGACGCUCAUGCACGAAAGCGUGGGGAGCAAACAGG